rnacentral:rRNA from 1 species
GAUGAACGCUGGCGGCGUGCUUAACGCAUGCAAGUCGAACGAUGACCCCGUGCUUGCACGGGUGAUUAGUGGCGAACGGGUGAGUAACACGUGAGUAACCUGCCCCCGACUUUGGGAUAAGCCCGGGAAACUGGGUCUAAUACCGGAUAUGACUUCUUACCGCAUGGUGGGUUGUUGAAAGAUUUAUCGGUGGGGGAUGGACUCGCGGCCUAUCAGCUUGUUGGUGAGGUAAUGGCUCACCAAGGCGACGACGGGUAGCCGGCCUGAGAGGGUGACCGGCCACACUGGGACUGAGACACGGCCCAGACUCCUACGGGAGGCAGCAGUGGGGAAUAUUGCACAAUGGGCGAAAGCCUGAUGCAGCGACGCCGCGUGAGGGAUGACGGCCUUCGGGUUGUAAACCUCUUUCAGUAGGGAAGAAGCGAAAGUGACGGUACCUGCAGAAGAAGCGCCGGCUAACUACGUG